rnacentral:tRNA from 1 species
AGCAAAGUGGCUGAGACUAAGCAAAAGAUUGUAGCUCUUUACACGGGUUAUCCCCUUUGCAU